AGAAAGUGACAGAUCGGUAAUGUGUUUGGCUUGAAACCAAACUAAGGGGGUUCAAUUCCUCCCUUUCUC
rnacentral:tRNA from 1 species